rnacentral:rRNA from 1 species
UUUCCCUUCGGGGACCUAAGUGACAGGUGGUGCAUGGUUGUCGUCAGCUCGUGUCGUGAGAUGUUGGGUUAAGUCCCGCAACGAGCGCAACCCUUGAUCUUAGUUGCCAGCAUUCAGUUGGGCACUCUAAGGUGACUGCCGGUGACAAACCGGAGGAAGGUGGGGAUGACGUCAAAUCAUCAUGCCCCUUAUGACCUGGGCUACACACGUGCUACAAUGGAUGGUACAAAGGGCAGCGAAACCGCGAGGUUAAGCCAAUCCCAUAAAACCAUUCUCAGUUCGGAUUGCAGGCUGCAACUCGCCUGCAUGAAGCCGGAAUCGCUAGUAAUCGCGGAUCAGCAUGCCGCGGUGAAUACGUUCCCGGGCCUUGUACACACCGCCCGUCACACCACGAGAGUUUGUAACACCCGAAGUCGGUGGGGUAACCGUAAGGAGCCAGCCGC